ACUACAUGCAAUGAAAUCGUAUC
rnacentral:snRNA from 1 species